UCAGUAUGUAGUGUCUCUACUUUAGAGAGUCCUCUCCUGAUGAUGUUCAGGUGUAUAUCAGUUAUGUAGUGUCUCUACUUUAAAGAGUCCUCUCAUGCUGAUGUUCUAGGUGAUAUCAGAUGUUAGUGUCUCUACUUUAAAGAGUUCCUCUCCUGACUUAUGUUCAGGUGUAUAAUCAGUAUGUAGUG